rnacentral:rRNA from 1 species
UACGUAGGGGGCUAGCGUUGUCCGGAUUUAUUGGGCGUAAAGAGCGUGUAGGCGGCCAGGUAGGUCUGGUGUGAAAACUCGAGGCUUAACCUCGAGAUGUCAUCGGAAACCAUUUGGCUAGAGUCCGGAAGAGGAGAGUGGAAUUCCUGGUGUAGCGGUGAAAUGCGCAGAUAUCAGGAAGAACACCAAUAGCGAAGGCAGCUCGCUGGGACGUUACUGACACUAAGGCGCGAAAGCGUGGGGAGCGAACAGG